rnacentral:rRNA from 1 species
CAGUAGCCGCGGUAAUACGUAGGUGGCAAGCGUUGUCCGGAAUUAUUGGGCGUAAAGCGCGCGCAGGCGGAUCAGUUAGUCUGUCUUAAAAGUUCGGGGCUUAACCCCGUGAGGGGAUGGAAACUGCUGAUCUAGAGUAUCGGAGAGGAAAGUGGAAUUCCUAGUGUAGCGGUGAAAUGCGUAGAUAUUAGGAAGAACACCAGUGGCGAAGGCGACUUUCUGGACGAAAACUGACGCUGAGGCGCGAAAGCCAGGGGAGCGAACGGGAUUAGAUACCCCCGUAGUCCCUGUCUCUUAUACA